rnacentral:rRNA from 1 species
UUCAGGUUGAUCCCGCCGGAGGCCAUUGCUAUUGGAAUCCGAUUUAGCCAUGCUAGUCGCACGAGUUCAGACUCGUGGCGAAUAGCUCAGUAACACGUGGCCAAACUACCCUUCGGAGCUCCAUACCCUCGGGAAACUGAGGCUAAUAGAGCAUACCACAAUCCAGCUGGAAUGAGGAUUGUGCCAAACGCUCCGGCGCCACAGGAUGCGGCUGCGGUCGAUUAGGUAGACGGUGGGGUAACGGCCCACCGUGCCUAUAAUCGGUAUGGGUUGUGAGAGCAAGAACCCGGAGACGGUAUCUGAGACAAGAUACCGGGCCCUACGGGGCGCAGCAGGCGCGAAACCUUUACACUGCACGACAGUGCGAUAAGGGAAUCCCAAGUGCGUAGGCAUAGAGCCUACGCUUUUGUCUACCGUAGGGAGGUAGACGAAUAAGGGCUGGGCAAGACCGGUGCCAGCCGCCGCGGUAAUACCGGCAGCCCGAGUGAUGGCCGAUCUUAUUGGGCCUAAAGCGUCCGUAGCUGGCCGCACAAGUCCAUCGGAAAAUCCACCCGCUCAACGGGUGGGCGUCCGGUGGAAACUGUGUGGCUUGGGACCGGAAGGCGCGACGGGUACGUCCGGGGUAGGAGUGAAAUCCUGUAAUCCUGGACGGACCGCCGAUGGCGAAAGCACGUCGCGAAGACGGAUCCGACAGUGAGGGACGAAAGCUAGGGUCUCGAACCGGAUUAGAUACCCGGGUAGUCCUAGCCGUAAACAAUGCCUGUUAGGUGUGGCUCCCACUACGAGUGGGUGCUGUGCCGUAGGGAAGCCGCUAAACAGGCCGCUUGGGGAGUACGGCCGCAAGGCUGAAACUUAAAGGAAUUGGCGGGGGAGCAC